AGAGUUUGAUCCUGGCUCAGAACGAACGCUGGCGGCGUGCCUAACACAUGCAAGUCGAGCGCGAAUAGGGGCAACCCUUAGUGGAGCGGCGCACGGGUGCGUAACACGUGGGUAAUCUGCCUGGAAGCCUGGGAUAACUAGCCGAAAGGUUAGCUAAUACCAGAUAAGACCCCGGGGGCUUCGGCCCUUGAGGGAAAAGGUGGCCUCUGUAUACAAGCUAUCACUUCCAGAUGAGCCCGCGGCCCAUCAGCUAGUUGGCGGGGUAAUGGCCCACCAAGGCAACGACGGGUAGCUGGUCUGAGAGGACGAUCAGCCACACUGGAACUGAGACACGGUCCAGACUCCUACGGGAGGCAGCAGUGGGGAAUUUUGCGCAAUGGGCGAAAGCCUGACGCAGCAACGCCGCGUGUGUGAUGAAGGUCUUCGGAUUGUAAAGCACUUUCGACCGGGACGAAACCCUCCAGCCCAAUACGCUGGAGCCUGACGGUACCGGGAGAAGAAGCACCGGCUAACUCUGUGCCAGCAGCCGCGGUAAUACAGAGGGUGCAAGCGUUGUUCGGAAUUAUUGGGCGUAAAGCGCGUGUAGGCGGCUUUGCAAGUCGGGUGUGAAAGCCCUCGGCUCAACCGAGGAAGUGCGCCCGAAACUGCAGAGCUUGAGUGCCGGAGAGGAUGGCGGAAUUCCCCAAGUAGAGGUGAAAUUCGUAGAUAUGGGGAGGAACACCGGUGGCGAAGGCGGCCAUCUGGACGGUCACUGACGCUGAGACGCGAAAGCGUGGGGAGCAAACAGGAUUAGAUACCCCCGUAGUCC
rnacentral:rRNA from 1 species